rnacentral:rRNA from 1 species
UACGGGGGGGGCAAGCGUUGUUCGGAAUUACUGGGCGUAAAGGGCUCGUAGGUGGCCAACUAAGUCAGACGUGAAAUCCCUCGGCUUAACCGGGGAACUGCCUCUGAUACUGGAUGGCUUGAGUUUGGGAGAGGGAUGCGGAAUUCCAGGUGUAGCGGUGAAAUGCGUAGAUAUCUGGAGGAACACCGGUGGCGAAGGCGGCAUCCUGGACCAAUACUGACGCUGAGGAGCGAAAGCUAGGGGAGCAAACGGG